ACCAGAGCAAAGGUUUUGUGAACAUUUAAAAGAUGAAAAAGGUGAAGAAUCCCAGAAGCGGUUUAUCUUGAAGCGAGAUAACUCUAGUAUUGAUAAAGAAGACAAUCAGUCAGUUUGCUCCCAGGAAAGCCUUUUUGUGGAAAACAGGUAAAAUAAAAUUUACUUUUCCAUGUCUUUAGAGGAACAACGUCUGUCAUGUGUGUCUUGUGUAUUCAUAAAUAUAUAUCCCAUAUAUGUGUGUGCUUGAAUAUAUGUAUUAGCAGAUACAUAUAUCUAUGCGUACACACAUAUAUGUUAUUUAACACAUCUACAAAUGAUCUAAUUUGGAAAAAAAAUUUUCUUUCAGUUAAUUCCAAACAGAAUUGUAAAACUUUUUCUUAUUUAAAGUCUCAAUUUCUGGUCCUUGCAAAGGUAUACUUCCUAUUACCUUCACCAGGCAUUAAGAAUAAUAAAUAUGGAGACAUCA
rnacentral:lncRNA from 1 species